rnacentral:rRNA from 1 species
UACAGAGGGUGCAAGCGUUGCUCGGAUUUACUGGGCGUAAAGCGUACGCAGACGGCUUGGAAGGUCGGACGUGAAAGCCCCGGGCUCAACCCGGGAAAUGCGUCCGAAACCACCUUGCUCGAGUAUGAGAGAGGGAAGCGGAAUUCCUGGUGUAGAGGUGAAAUUCGUAGAUAUCAGGAGGAACAUCUGCGGCGAAGGCGGCUUCCUGGCUCAUUACUGACGUUCAGGUACGAAAGCGUGGGUAGCAAACAGG